ensembl:lncRNA
CACAAACCCAGGCAGCACAAAGAGACUCAUGUCGGGGAGGCUGACACCAUGGAAAGCUGGGAGCCUCUUGCCAGCUGGAUUGGAUGCUUCUGCAGUAUGCCGUAAGAGUCAUCGCUGUAACUACAUGCAACGUGUGGGAAUAGGGAAGCCUGCCCUGUCAGAGUGUUGAAAGCGAUCUCCAUCUGUUCUGGGUACUGCUCGCUCAUCAUCUGAUGGAUGCACACUACCCCUACUUGUGCCUUUCCUUCUCCUUGCUCCUUCCCUGCUAGUACAGUGGAAGCAGAUGUGUUUGCCUUUUACAGUGUUUGUUAUCAAGCUCCAACUGAGUAUGCUGAAUCACAGUGCUGCCUGAACAACCCAGUCUGAAAUACCAUGCUGCCCAUUUGGGAGAGAGAGGAAGCCCAGUAGAGAGUGUGGUUUCGCGUUCCUGCAUCAGAUGUUGAGGAUCAAAGGCAUCUGAAACAAUCAUAAAGACGAUACCAAAAGAACACCUGGGUAGAUGCACGAACUGCAAAGCCUCCUGGAGAAGGAGGCCAUGUAUGUGGGACUGUGGGCUGUGGGUCUGGGGCCCCCCUCCCCCUCUGCCCAUCUCAGUGCACUGCAGUAUGUCCUGAGCACUGCUGCCCACUCCCAUGAGCAGAAUACCCAAAUUCCAACACGUCUCCCUCCUGCUCCAGCCACACUGCAUGACCCACAGUAUCCCUUUGGCACUUCACAUCCAGUUCUUCUCUGGCGCUGCAAUGGCAAGGGAAAGAUGCACCAUUGGCACUGCAGAGGAAAUCCCUGUCAUCUCCCUGCUGCUGCUCCCUUUUUUCUACGGGGGCAACAUCAUGGGAUGACCCUGCUCACCAAAGGACCCUGACAAGUACCCAUGGUCAUGGUUCCCCUCUGGCUUGGCUCACUUUGCAGGACGCCUCAUUUUUCCGGACACUGGAAGUUCAUCCAGGGCUCUUAGUGGAUGUUUUCCCUGCACUGUGAUUACUGAAAGCUAUUCUUCAUUAAAGGAUAGAAUUCAUCUCUGCUGAAUGUAUAGGAUGACGCCUGAAGCCCAC